AACUCUAUAAAUAUUCCCACAACCACUCCCUCCAUUUCCUUCUUGCCAUUUCCUCCUCCUUCCCCAAAAUUCUUCGUUUCCUUUGAGGCUCUGAGAAAGAUAGAGAGAGAGUCAGUGUGGUUAGGAUAUUUGUGAUUCCUUUGUUUAUUGCUCAUUUUGUUGUUGUUGUUGUUGUUUUCCAUCUUCUCCCUUUUCCUUUUCUGUGUUCAGAUCAAUUAUUGCUCUGUUUCCCCUGUUGGAUUCUUCACAGAUCAAGUGAGUUUUCUCUC
rnacentral:lncRNA from 1 species